CUACGGGCUGCUGCAGUGGGGAAUAUUGCACAAUGGGCGCAAGCCUGAUGCAGCCAUGCCGCGUGUAUGAAGAAGGCCUUCGGGUUGUAAAGUACUUUCAGCGGGGAGGAAGGGAGUAAAGUUAAUACCUUUGCUCAUUGACGUUACCCGCAGAAGAAGCACCGGCUAACUCCGUGCCAGCAGCCGCGGUAAUACGGAGGGUGCAAGCGUUAAUCGGAAUUACUGGGCGUAAAGCGCACGCAGGCGGUUUGUUAAGUCAGAUGUGAAAUCCCCGGGCUCAACCUGGGAACUGCAUCUGAUACUGGCAAGCUUGAGUCUCGUAGAGGGGGGUAGAAUUCCAGGUGUAGCGGUGAAAUGCGUAGAGAUCUGGAGGAAUACCGGUGGCGGAGGCGGCCCCCUGGACGAAGACUGACGCUCAGGUGCAAAAGCGUGGGGAGCAAACAGGAUUAGAUACCCCCGUAGUC
rnacentral:rRNA from 1 species